GUGGAGACUCCCACACAGAAGAGGAGACGGGAUAACGCGCCUGAAGUCACUCACGCAGCGAGGGUCAGCCCCGCAUUCCAGCGCAGGCCUUUGGCCUUCUGCAGCUGUGCUCUUACCUGCUUUACGUGCUGGCGAGGCACCCCUCGGGACAGGAGAAGGUGAAUGCCAGAGUUAACUCCACGUCGAGCCGGGAGAGUUGGCGGGUGACGCUCCGUCGAUGGCAUUGUUUGGGCCUAAAUCAUCCCUGCACGGUGUUUUAAAAGAACAAGGAAAGUCAGAUGAAGGUUCUCCACACGUUGUGAUUCCCCCCACAAAUGCUGGGUCUCCAAAGCAGAUCAUGUUGGCGAUGUCCCUUGGUUGAAACAAUAAGCCUGG
rnacentral:lncRNA from 1 species